AACGCUGGCGGCGUGCCUAACACAUGCAAGUCGAGCGGUAACAGGUGUAGCAAUACAUGCUGACGAGCGGCGAACGGGUGAGUAAUGCUUCGGAAUCUGCCCAAUGGUGGGGAAUAACCAGCCGAAAGGUUGGCUAAUACCGCAUAAGUCCUACGGGGGAAAGCAGGGGAUCGCAAGACCUUGCGCCGAUGGAUGAGCCGAAGUCGGAUUAGCUAGUUGGUAGGGUAACGGCCUACCAAGGCGACGAUCCGUAGCUGGUCUGAGAGGACGACCAGCCACACUGGGACUGAGACACGGCCCAGACUCCUACGGGAGGCGGCAGUGGGGAAUAUUGGACAAUGGGGGAAACCCUGAUCCAGCGACGCCGCGUGUGUGAAGAAGGCCUGCGGGUUGUAAAGCACUUUUAGUGGGGAUGAAAAGCUCAGGGCUAACACCUCUGGGUCUUGACCUAACCCAAAGAAAAAGCACCGGCUAACUCUGUGCCAGCAGCCGCGGUAAUACAGAGGGUGCGAGCGUUAAUCGGAAUUACUGGGCGUA
rnacentral:rRNA from 1 species